rnacentral:misc_RNA from 1 species
GUAACGCCACUGCUUCGUGCCAAUCUAUAAGGAAAAUAAAACAGGAAAAGAAAAAGUCAAAAUACAAAUUGAGAUGCAGUACAUAAAAAUCAUAUCAAGAAAACAAACGCAACUUCACUUGCAACCAAACAAUUGAUAUAGAACAAAGAGUCUAAGGUUACAAACGAAGGCAGCAGUAUAGUAAAAUGAAGCCACGGAUUGAAAUUGACUAUUAAUACUCGACAGAUGCAAA